GAUGAACGCUAGCGGCAGGCUUAACACAUGCAAGUCGAGGGGUAGAGGUUGCUUGCAACCUUGAGACCGGCGCACGGGUGCGUAACGCGUAUGCAACCUACCUUUUACAGAGGGAUAGCCCAGAGAAAUUUGGAUUAAUACCUCAUGGUAUAUAUCAUUCGCAUGUUUGAUAUAUUAAAGUUCCAACGGUAAAAGAUGGGCAUGCGUCCUAUGAGCUAGAUGGUAAGGUAACGGCUUACCAUGGCAACGAUAGGUAGGGGUCCUGAGAGGGAGAUCCCCCACACUGGUACUGAGACACGGACCAGACUCCUACGGGAGGCAGCAGUGAGGAAUAUUGGACAAUGGGCGCAAGCCUGAUCCAGCCAUGCCGCGUGCAGGAAGAAGCAUCUAUGGUGUGUAAACUGCUUUUGUACGGGAAGAAACACUCCUUCGUGAAGGAGCUUGACGGUACCGUAAGAAUAAGGAUCGGCUAACUCCGUGCCAGCAGCCGCCGUAAUAC
rnacentral:rRNA from 1 species